UGCCAGCAGCCGCGGUAACACGGGAGGCGCAAGCGUUAUUCGGAAUUAUUGAGCGUAAAAGGCGCGCAGGCGGUCUUGUCAGUCAGGUGUGAAAGCCCGGGGCUCAACCCCGGAUGGUCACUUGAAACAGCAAGACUUGAGUACUGGAGAGGAAAGCGGAAUUCCUAGUAUAGAGGUAAAAUUCAUAAAUAUCAAAAAGAACACCAAUAACAAAGACAACUUUCUAAACAAAUACUAACGCUGAAGCGCGAAGGCGUGGGUAGCGAACGGAAUUAGAUA
rnacentral:rRNA from 1 species